rnacentral:rRNA from 1 species
CAGCCGCCGCGGGAAUACGUAGGGCGCAAGCGUUAUCCGGAAUUAUUGGGCGUAAAGAGCUCGUAGGCGGUUUGUCGCGUCUGCCGUGAAAGUCCGGGGCUCAACCCCGGAUCUGCGGUGGGUACGGGCAGACUAGAGUGAUGUAGGGGAGACUGGAAUUCCUGGUGUAGCGGUGAAACGCGCAGAUAUCAGGAGGAACACCGAAGGCGAAGGCAGGUCUCUGGGCAUUAACUGACGCUGAGGAGCGACAGCAUGGGGAGCGAACAGGAUUAGAUACCCCGGUAGUCCCUGUCUCUUAUAC